GCGGAGCCUGCCAGACCCUCGGCUAGAAUGGGGACCCGCUGUCCAGCCGAGGCUGGCGGAGGCGCACCGGGGGCGCAGAGGGCGAUGCUAGUAGUCUGGACCCAAAGGACUGCAGGAAGGAGACCGUGAGGAAGCGUCUGUGCCUGGGAAGCCCCAGCUCCUGCUUGGGCCAGGCAGCCAGCACCUACCUGAUCCCGGGGAACCGGAGUCCGGCGGCGGCAGGUGAGCUGUAGACGCUGCUGUGCAUGAUUAUCCCAUAGACCAGCAGGGCCAGCCUCGCUCCGCUACACAUGGUCAUUCUGCGCAGGAUGGGAAAGAGGACACACAGCUGUGAGAACGCCCCUGGCCUCCCACCCUCCAACCCCAAAAAGCUCUGGAAGCCGGGGGAGGGACGGAGCGAAGCCCCGGCUCCCUGAGUUGAACAGCACUUGGCGACAGCCGGUGCGCGCCCUGCCACUUCUUGCUUGCUAUAGUUAGAAAAAAAUAUAUAUAUAUGCAUCUACCCGGCGCCCAAUAACUAGCCAGACCCGGCUGAAGGAAAGCUAACUCCCCUGACGCGAUGCCAAGCGAAAGAAUCAGCAGUCGAGUGAGCCGGUCGCUUUGUCACGUAAUGAUCGGGUAUCAGAAAAAGACGUCAGCAUCCUAGUCCCUCAAGGAACAUAUUAACUAUUCUGUGCUGUCCUCUUGGAUGAUAAGAUCCGGAGUCAUCGACUUCUCAUAAACACCUUUCACUCAUACAAUCCAAUUUUUAAGAAGUCCAAUUGUUUUGAUGGUUUUCAAUUUCACCCGUUUCUCAAGGACAGCCUCACCAAUCAGAGCUCUGGUCUCUGGAAUUAAGCAUCAUCAAGCUCUCCUAUUAAUAAAUUUAAUUUAGAUCUCCUAA
rnacentral:lncRNA from 1 species